rnacentral:rRNA from 1 species
UACGCCCGAUCUCGUCCGAUCUCAGAAGCUAAGCAGGGUCGGGCUUCGUUAGUACUUGGAUGGCAGACCGCCUGGGAAUACCAGGUGCUGUAAGCUU